UAUUGGUUAAAAAUUGUUGUGUAGUUUUUAUUUGACGUUAUUUGCAUUUUUUAUUAAUUUUAUUGUAAGUUAUAUUUUUAUUUAUUAUAUUUUAUUAUUUUCUUGUAUUAUUUUUAGUUAUUUUCUGUUAUUAUAGUAUUUUAUUGUAUCAAUAUUUAGUGUUUUUUUAUUAUUUUUUAUUGGGUUGCUUGGAGACCAAGUUGGAGGAGCUUAGCCUUCUAACUGGCAGCAAUUGGAUAAAAGCAAUUAUUCCUCUCCCUCUAAUUAGGACUUUAUUUUUCUUUUCUUUUUGUUGUAUCAACCUAGAGGCAUGGAUGAGGGGUUGUGAUGUCAAUUUUCGAGGUUGUGGGGUGUUUACUUUUGUUGUUUUGUCCGCUGCCGUGAUGCCAUCACUCUUUUAUAUAUAUAGAUAUGGCUAUUCUGCAUGGGGGUCUUGUGGUCCUCAUGAAGCACAUCUUUCCAUGUGGAUAUUUUACACUACCCUAUGGGAAUGAUACCAUCCAAAAGGAUUGCCUAAAUAACGACCUAUUUAUUUCAAGAACCAGGGACUUGCAGUUUCUCAAGUCAUUCCUGACACACACAAAAACAACAGAGAGAUUUUGCCAGGGAAUCUUUUGUCUGGGCUGACGUCAAGCUAACAGGGAAGCCACAUUCCUUCUGCUCCAGCUGUCCAUAGAAACCUCCCGUUCUUGUCUAAAGAUUCUGGACUGAAACUUGACUGCCCUCAAAGGUGUGACCUGAACCUCUACCUAAUUUAUUUCUGUCAUGGUGGAGAUGGCGGUGGUUGUGAAGAAGGCGAAGAGAGGGCAACGAGUUCAAGAUGUGGAGAAUAAGUCAAUGCUCUAUAUUCUGGCAACCUUUCUCUAUCUUUCGUUCUCCCUUUGUCUCAGUGUUAUGGCACAUUUCUAUAAAUAUUUAGUCAAUGCCUUAGACAAAUGCUGACUUAAUGGAUUGUAACCAUUUGGGAAAAAAAGCAUUCCAGCCCUCUCUUAUUUUAUUAAUUUCUAACACCCUAGUCCACCAGGAACCUGAAAACAAUGCGUAUUAAGGUGAAAACAUUUAAAAUUACAACUUGGCACUUUCAAAACAAAGAUUGAAAUGAGUUGUUGUAUGUUUUCCGGCCUGUAUGGCCAUGUUCCAGAAGUACAGUAGAGUCUCACUUAUCCAACACUCGCUUAUCCAACAUUCUGGGUUAUCCAACGCAUUUUUGUAGUCAAUGUUUUCAAUAUAUUGUGAUAUUUUGGUGCUAAAUUCGUAAAUACAGUAAUUAGGGGCCGGGCUGUGGCGCAGCUGGCUAGUAACCAGCUGCUAUAAAUCACUACUGACCGAGAGGUCAUGAGUUCGAAGCCCGGGUCGGGUUAAGCCUCCGACCAUUAAUAGCCCCGGCUUGCUGUUGACCUAUGCAGCCCCGAAGACAGUUGCACCUGUCAAUUAGGGAAAUUUAGGGACGCUUUAUGCGGGAGGCUAAUUUACAACACCAUAAAACUGCCAGCAAAACAUGAGGAAAGGAAUGAGGAAGUACAGCCACUACUGGACGGUGAAGCAACAGCUCCCCCUGUGGCCGGAAUUGUGAAGCUGGAAAAAUGUUAAAAAUGCCUCUGAGUCUGUCUAAUGUAUGUUGUUUGUCUGUUGGCAUUGAAUGUUUGCCAUAUAUGUGUUCAUUGUAAUCCGCCCUGAGUCCCCUUCGGGGUGAGAAGGGCGGAAUAUAAAUACUAUAAAUAAAUAAAUAAAUAAAAUAAUUACUACAUAGUAUUACUGCGUAUUGAACUACUUUUUCUGUCAAAUUUGUUGUAUAACAUGAUGUUUUGGACUUCCAUGGCAAUUAUAUGGUCAACUUGAAGACUAUCAUUGGUCAUCCAUUGAGACUUCUCUUUAAUUACAAAUAGUGUCAUUCUGCAUUCCUCUCUGACAAUGUCCAUGGCUAGAGUUCAUCUGGCUCCAUAGUUUAUAUAUAUAAACUCGAUCCAGGAUGUCAUAAGUCUGUAAGACCUAAGCAGGACGGUUGAGGACAUGUUGACUUGGAGGUCUCUCACUCAUUGAGGUUGCCAUAAGUCAAAGUCUGGCAGCUCAGAAGGUGGCUUGCUGUCAUCCAAAUGGUUCCUCCUGGAAGUUUGGGCCAACAAUUUUUCUCUGACUUCAGGACAUGCUAGAAAUGGUCCCAUUUCUUCCUGGAUGUGAAUAUUGCAGGACCUUCAGUCCUAAGAGCAAUUGCAGCCGACGAUCACUCCAAAGAAAGGAGUCUGGUGAUGAAAGGCACUCUUGGAAAUGCAAAUGCCAAUUAUUUAAUAUUUUAUAAACCUUGAAAUUUUAAUUUCAGCAGAUUUAUUUGUCUGGAGAGCAUUAUGAUAGAAGUCUCUCUCUCACAGUCUCGGGCAGCCCAGGAGAGCCCGUGUGACAAUAUUUCUUUUAUACGAGAAAAUACUUUCCCUAUACUUCACAGAUCUAUCGUCCCUAACGUCUAUAUGGAGGGAGGGAGUAGAAGAAAAUAACAUGGAUUUAUGAGUCUGGACAUGGGGAAGCAUAUUGCCUUGACUUUCAAACUGAUGCAGAGAGGAGCAUAUUGUCUUUGCUGUGCUUCUUGUUUCUGCCGUCAUGCCAAAAUACAAUAAAAUAUAAUCAGCUUCAGCAGAGAAUUCAAUGGCCCCUUGGGUCCUUGAAGGUUACCAUCCAAUGCACAAAAUCCACUGAAUACUUUCAGUUUCGAAGCCUGGUUGCUCAUCUCAUAGCUUUAAAGCAAGAGAGAGAAAUCUCAGAGUGAAAGAACUGCCUAUAAUAGGGUGUAGUUAUUGUUGUUGUUGUGGGGAUGGCGUUUAAUCGAUCGUGUUAAUGAUAUCACAAAUUCAAAUUCCAUGGCAUUUCUAGGGAAUAUCUCUGUGUCUUAGGUACUACCCUGGCAACCCUACUCUUGUUAUAUUGUUUUUCUGGCCACAUAGUUGGGUGCCCUGAUAUAACCUCCCCAGAUGUGGCAUCACCAACAAGUCUCUGUCAGUGAAUGCUUGUGGGUCUGUUGGACAUGUGGACACUGGAUUGGGCUGGAUCUAGUCAGAUUCAGCUGUCAGUGCCAUCAGGGCUGUGGCACAGCUGGCUAGGAACCAGCUGCAAUAAAUCACUACUGACCAAGAGGUCAUGAGUUCGAAGCCCGGGUCAGGUUAAGCUCCCGAGUAUUAAAUAAUCCACCUUGCUGUUUACCUAUGCAGCCCGGAAGACAGUUGCAUCUGUCAAUUAGGAAAUUUAGGUACGCUGUAUGUGGGGAGGCUAAUUUAACUGAUUUACAACACCAUAGAACUGCCAGCAACAUGCCAGAAAGGAAUGAGGAAGUACAGUCACUAGUGGACGGUGAAGUAACAGCUCCCCCUGUGGCCGGAAUUGUGAAGCUGGAAAUGUUAAAUGCCUCUGUGUGUGUCUAUACUGUAUGUUGUUUGUCUGGUGGCAUUGAAUGUUUGCCAUAUAUAUUAUGUUCAUUGUAAUCUUCCCUGAGUCCCCUUCAGGGCCGGCAGAACGUUGGAUAAGCAAAUAUGUUGGAUAAUAAGGAGGGAUUAAGGAAAAACCUAUUAAGCAUCAAAUUAGGUUAUGAUUUUACAAAUUAAGCACCAAAACAUCAUGUUAUACAACAAAUUUGACAGAAAAAGUAGUUCAAUACAAAGUAAUGCUACGUAGUAAUUACUAUAUUUAUGAAUUUAGCACCAAAAUAUCAUGAUGUAUUGAAAACAUUGACUACAAAAAUGCGUUGGAUGAUCCAGAAUGUUGGAUAAGCGAGGCUCUACUGUAUAUCUUUCAUAUUAUAUAAUAGCAGCUCUUUCAUGCCACUUUAACUGAUAUAGUUGCAUGCUAUGAAAUCCCAGGAUUAUUGGUUUGGUGAGGUCCUGGAAUUCUUUACAAGAGAAUUUCAAAUUCUUGGCAGACCUGCUAUUACAAGAUUUUGUAGGUUGGAUUAUGUAGGAUCGCCAUUCAGUUGUGUGACUUCAAGACCCCUCAAGAUGAAUCAAUCACAGAGAUUUCUUUAAAAGGUUGGUGUAGAAGAGUAUUACCAUUUAUGUGUUUUAGAUGAAAUUUUUAUCCUCUAUUGUUGUUUAUAUUGAUAUAUUGUAUUAUUAUUGUAUUAUCUUUUUAUAUUGUGAUUGUAUUGUGUUGCUUAUAUUUUGUUUUUAUGUUGUUUGGGCCACUGCCCCAUGUAGGCCGCCCCGAGUCCCCGUGGGGAGAUGGUGGCGGGAUAUAAAUAAAGUAUUAUUAUUAUUAUUAUUAUUAUUAUUAUUAUUACUUUUGCCUUCUUCUAAGGCUGAGAGAUUGUGACUCACCCAAGGGGAGUUGCCAUGGCCAAAGGGAGUUUCUAACCGUGGUCUCCAGAGUUCCAGUCCAACACUCACACCAUUAUACCACACUGGCUUUUGUGAAAAUGCUAAUACUAGUGCCUUUUGGACAACUUUUCAGGGCCUAUUUGGCUGCCAAAGAUGUUGUGAGUGAAAGAGAUGAGAUGUUACUACGCUUUAAAGUAGCUCUCCAAAGUACUGAAGCCCAUUUCCAGAACGGUACUUUGGAUAGCUCCUCCGAACCUUGGAUUCAAACUCAGGGUGCAGCUACACCAGGCAUGGGCAAACUUUGGUCCUUUUGGACUCCAAAUCCCACAAUUCCUAUAAGCCUAUAGGCUGUUAAGAAUUGUGGGAGCUGGAGUCCAAAAUUUAUUUAUUUAUUUAUUUAUUUACAGUAUUUACCGUGUUUGCCCGAAAAUAAGACACUGUCUUAUAUUCAUUUUUGCUCCCAAAGAUGCUCUAGGUCUUAUUUUCAGGGGAUGUCUUAUUUUUCCAUGAAUAAUAAUAAUAAUAAUUUUAUUUUUGUACCCCGCCACCAGAGGGACUCGGGGCGGCUUACAGAUAUAAAACCAGCAUACAGUAAUAUCAAAUACAAAAACACACAAAUAAAUUUAAAAGGCAUUAAAAAUCACAAUCAUUAUGAAGAAGAAUUCACAUUUAUUGUUGAACAAAAACAUGAACAUUUAUUAUAUACUGUACAGUAGUUGUCAUCAUAAACCAGCAUAACCAGACAAACUGUGAAGAAUUUCAUGUUACUACCAAUAUUUCCAUGUACAACACUUUAUGGUACAUACAUUUACCGAUCCUGCAUGCUCUGGUGUUCUGUUUGGCAGGCAUGCUUCCAAACAAAAACUUUGCUAGGUCUUACUUUCAGGUGAGGCCUUAUGUUUAGCAAUUCAGCAAAAUGUCUACUAGGUCUUAUUUUCUGGGGAAGUCUUAUUUUCGGGGAAACAGGGUAUAUUCCGCCCUUCUCACCCCAAAGGGGACUCAGGGCAGAUCACAUUGCACAUUGCACAUAUAAGGCAAACAUUCAAUGCCACAACAUAGAACAGAGACAGAGACAGACACAGGCACCGGCAGGCCUCGAACUCAUGAUCUCUUGGACAGAGUGAUUUGUUGCAGCUGGCUGCUAACCAGCCUGCACCACAGCCCAGCCUGGAGAGCCGAAGUUUGCACAUGCCUGAGCCACACUGUAGAAUUAAUGUAGUUUGACACUCCUUGAAAUGUCAUUAUUCCCUACUAUGAAUGGAAUGGGAUGAGGCACUAACCUGCUCUGGCAAAGAAGGCUAAAACUACGACUCCCAUGAUUCCAUAGCAAUGAGCCAUUCAAGUGUUACCAAACUGUAUUAACUCUGUAGUGUCGAUGCAUCCUAAGAGCAAAUUAAUUGCCCUCACAACCUCUGCCAUAGAUGUGGGCGAAACGUCAGAAGAGAAUGCUUCUGGAACAUGGCCAUACAUCCUGGAAAACACAUAACAAUCCAAUUGCCCCACCGAUUUAGAAGUUACAGUAGAGUCUCACUUAUCCAACAUAAACGGGCCGGCAGAACGUUGGAUAAGCGAAUAUGUUGGAUAAUAAGGAGGGAUUAAGGAAAAGCCUAUUAAACAUCAAAUUAGGUUAUGAUUUUACCAAUUAAGCACCCAAACAUCAUGUUUUACAACAAAUUUGACAGAAAAAGUAGUUCAAUAUGCAGUUAGGGGCUGGGCUGUGGCGCAGCUGGCUAGUAACCAGUUGCAAUAAAUCACUACUGACCGAGAAGUCAUGAGUUCGAAGCCCGGGUCGGGUUAAGCCUCCGACCAUUAAAAUAGCCCCGGCUUGCUGUUGACCUAUGCAGCCCCGAAAGACAGUUGCAUCUGUCAAGUAGGGAAAAUUUAGGUACGCUUUAUGCGGGAGGCUAAUUUAACUAAUCUACAACACCAUAAAACUGCCAGCAAAACACGAGGAAAAUAAUGAGGAAGAACAGCCACCAGUGGACGGUGAACCAACAGCUCCCCCUAUGGCCGGAAUCGUGAAGCUGGAAAGAUGUUAAAAUGCCUCUGUGUCUGUCUAAACUGUAUGCUGUUUGUCUGUUGGCAUUGAAUGUUUGCCAUAUAUGUGUUCAUUGUAAUUCGCCCUGAGUCCCCUUCGGGGUGAGAAGGGCGGAAUAGAAAUACUGUAAAUAAAUAAAUAAACGGGCUGGCAGAACGUUGGACAAGCGAAUAUGUUGGAUAAUAAGGAGGGAUUAAGGAAAAGCCUUUUAAACAUCAAAUUAGGUUAUGAUUUUACAAAUUAUGCACCAAAACAUCAUCUUAUACAACAAAUUUGACAGAAAAAGUAGUUCAAUACGCAGUAAUGCUAUGUAGCAAUUACUGUAUUUACGAUUUUAGCACCAAAAUAUCACAAUGUAUUGAAAACAUUGACUACAAAAAUGCGUUGGAUAAUCCAGAACGUUGGAUAAGUGAGACUCUACUGUAUUAGUUUUUGCCUUUGACUAUUGCUAGACUUGCAUUUGUUUUUCUAUGGUUUUGGAUGAAUGGACUUCAUACGUUUCUGAACCCCGCAACACUUUUUGACUAAAUAUUGCAUUGAGAUGUAUGUAUGAUGGGAUAACAACAUCAUUUUUUGGUUUUUAGUGCUUUUCCAGGAAUGGGAUGAGAGGACGUACUUUUUGUCUCAUUUCAGCCACUUUCCGCUCUGAACGUAUAAGAUGUUGAAGAGUAAUAUCUCAGAAACGCAUAGUGAUUACUUGAAACCUGAUUUGUGUCUUUCAGCUUUUGAAAGCUGAGGUUCACAUCUUGAGGGAAUGAGGGAAAGCAUUUGAAGUUUUCUUUAUACACAAUAUGCCCCAUAGCAGAUCGACAGUACAGAUCAAGGGAGCACAUCUACUGGAACACUCAAGAGGUUUCUGCUAAAAAGCCACCGAAAUAAUUUAAGAGGAUGGAGUGUCAUUAAUGGACAGACUCGGGAAAGGUGAUGGAUGGAUGGCACGGAUCUGGGCUCCACGUUUUUCGCCUUGGUGGAGCCCCGCAGGAGGAAAGCUGCGCGGAACGGAUUGAACCACACACAGAAACAAAGACAUAUUUUUGGUCUGGCAUGAAUUAUUUGUUCGUUGUCAGACUUUUCAACCGCAUUGAGAGACAGGCACAUUGAGAAGGGAAAAUCCUGAAUGGCAAUCCAUUUGAAAUAUUUUGUAUAUACAGUAGAGUCUCACUUAUCCAAGCCUCUGGAUAAUCCAAGCCAUUUUUGUAGUCAAUGUUUUCAAUAUAUCGUGAUAUUUUGAUGCUAAAUUCGUAAAUACAGUAAUUAGAACAUAACAUUAUUGCAUAUUGAACUACUUCUUCUGUCAAAUUUGUUGUCUAACAUGAUGUUUUGGUGCUUAAUUUGUAAAAUCAUAACCUAAUUUGAUGUUUAAUAGGCUUUUCCUUAAUGCCUCCUUAUUAUCCAACAUAUUCACUUAUCCAACAUUCUGCCAGCCCGUUUAUGUUGGAUAAAUGAGAUUCUACUGUAGUACUAACGGUGCUGGAUUUCUAAAUAUCAUGGUGAUUUAUUUUCUAAUUUAAAGAAGCAGAGUCAGCUAGACUAUGAUUUUGGGUUAAUUGUCUUUCCCCAUUUCUCUCCAGAUACCUUGUUUUCCCGAAAAUAAGACAUCCUCUGAAACUUGGCAGAUGGACUUGCAAGAUUCCUGCCUGUAUCAAAGAAACAUUAAGAAAGUCAAUGUGAAGAUGAAUGUUGACUAUCUGAAGACAACAACUUGAACUUCUCAGGCGGUUGAAGACUUUGGAAACCUGGAUCCCUCUCCACCAGUAUCCUGAAGCACCAGUAGCCAAAUUGGAAGCUUGUGCCUCUCCAGCUUGAUGCAACAAUGGCAUUUUAUAUGCAUCCCCAUGAGAGUUGUGCUGAUCCAUUGGGAGUACCUGCUAAAAAUGGAAGCCUGCAAGAUGUUUCCUCACCCGAUUUUGAGCAGUACUCUUCCAUAUACCAGCUGUUUUGAUAGAUGGAUGGGGAAACAAAGACAGCUGAUAGACCAUGGCCAAGCAAGCUAACAGGAACGUUUUCUUAAAGGUGAGUUAAGCUGGAACUCCAACACCAUGCAUGAGUUACUUUUGGUCAUAUCUAGACUGCAAACAGAAGUUGCAGACAUGAGAUGUCUUAUGGAGAGGUUGUCUCUCAGAUGGCAGUAACAGCCAUUGCCUUCAAUAUCAGUAGGGAAACAUGCAUAUAGGGAUAUGGGCUUUUUGUUACGUGAGAAUGGGCAUCUGAUGAUUGGAAUGAUCUAUCUCUCAAAGGAUGUUGGUUGGUUUGUACUACCUGGCUUAACGGAUCUGGACCAAACCUGGCACACAUUUCCAUCAUUAUCCAACUUAAAAUAAUUGGGAAGUUUGAAAUAAAAAGCACCAAGUUCAGACUCAAAGCAGGGGAAAAGAAAGGGAGCAAAGUGGAUUGGCUGUUGCUAGAUGGCAUUCAUAUACUAUGAAGGUUGAAUGAAAAGUAAUGCCUCCACCUUCAUAACUCCUCAACAGAUGGUAGUCCUGGUCUGCGGCAGGUACUGGCUUGUUCAGUAGACCUUCCUCUACAGUUCCAUUUGGCGGGAAGCCUUAGCAUUGAACAGUUGUGUUGUUAAAGUGUGAAGUAUGGAACCCUGCUCAGACGGUUGGUCAAUGCGAUUUAAGCAACCUGCAGUCAUUGAAUUCUUGACAGCAGAAAGUGUCACCCCAAAGGAGAUUCAUCAGAGAAUGCAAGCUGUUUAUGGUGAUUGUGUUGAUGUGAGUCCUGUACAUCGUUGGGCGAGUAAGUUUAAAGAUGUUCAGGUGGGAACAUCUGACUUGCGUGACAAACAAAGAGUUGGACGUCCUGUGACAGCAACCACCAAGUUUCAUAAGCAAAAGUUUGACAGAUUGAUUCAGGACUAUCGUCUUAUCACUCAAAGAAAAAUUUCCAGCAUAAUCAGCAUUUCACAAGAACAUGUGGGUCACAUUAUUGCUUUGCUUGGCUAUCGGAAGAUCUCUGCACAAUGGGGAUUGUGAGACGCUGGUUGCGGAAACAGAGUGUCGACUUCAUUUGUGACAGCUUCAGAAAACUUGUUCAUCAUUGGCAGAAAUGCAGCCAAUUGUCUGGUGAUUAUGUGGAUAAGUGAAUAGUGGUACAGUCUAAGGAUUAUUUCUGCAUUUGAUUUAUUAAAAUAUUCCCAUCCAAACCCAAGUAACGAAGGUGGAGGCAUUACUUUUCAUUCAACCCUUGUAUUUUGAAACUUCUUGGGCCUAGGAAGAUCCAGUAGCCUCCCCUAUUCACGGAUCCAUCUUUUAAGCAAAUGUCCAAGGAGCAACCCAAGGUGCUGAAUCUAUUUUCGAGUUGGGUUUCAGCAACUUGGAAUCUGCCUAUAAGGUGUAAAGGAAAUUCAAAGCUGAUGGUGAGGCAACGCUAGACUUCAGAAACUGGGGCUGAGUUGAAAGCUUGUACCUUCCCCCUUCCCAAGCAUUCAAGGGACGUUGACAACAUAGUUAUAUAUAAAUAUAUAUAUAAAGGAAAACAUCAAACAAUUCAGUUGACAAACACACUGAGAUGAGUCUGAAGUAGCAGUAAAAGACAUAAACAGGAUGCAAAUACACAAGAACUAUAUAAGCAACCAAUUAAAGAGCAACAAGAGAAAAAGAUUGAAAGAUGCUGAAAAAACUACUUAAAAGACUCAUAAAAGGCUUUGGGUGGGGAGGAAUAACAAGAUCUUUGCAUGAGGAAAACUUACGUGAACAUAUUUGCAAUACACAGUUAUAGCAGCUUAAUGCCACUUUUUAUUGCCACGGCUCAGUUUUGCAAGAAUUGGGAUUGUAGUCUGGUGAGGGAAUUCGGUUUCUCUGCCAGAGCGCUUUAAUCCAUUCCUCUGAUAUCUAUCUAUACCAGAUCGCUGUAGUUGAAAAUUCUAAAUACCUCACCAAACUAGAGAUCCCAAGAUUUCAUAAAGUGCAGCCGUGACAAUUAGAGUGGCUAUUACUGUAUAAUGUGUACGUAAAAAGGUAACUGUGUGGGAGCCUAGGGACCAAUUUUCCGCAAGAAAAAUUUCUUGCAAGAAGUACCCACUUUUCAGCUAAAAAACAGAAAAUGGGAUGUUGGUUGAUAAAAAAGGAGAUUUAAAGAUGGACGUGGAGCUAAUCUAAAAUAAUUUGGCAUAAACUGGGAAGCUCUGGUCCUAGAUGGCUCUAACUGGAGGUCAGCUACGACCAACAGUGCUGUGGACUUUGAAGAAGCACAUAUAAUAAUAAUAAUAAUAAUAAUAAUAAUAAUAAUAAUAAUAAUAAUAAUAAUAAUAAUAAUAAUAAUAAUAAUAAUAAUUUUAUUUUUGUACCCCACCACCAUCUCCCCAGAGGGACUCGGGGCGGCUUACAGAUAUAAAACCAGCAUAUAGUAAUAUCAAAUACAAAAACAGAAAAAUAAAUUUAAAAGGCAUUAAAAAAUCACAAUCAUUAUAAAACACAUGAAAAACACAGCAAUAAAAACAUAAAAUGAGCUGGGCAAAGUGCACUGAGUGGAACUUGUAAACAAGAAAGAAGUUAAGGUGCUAUAUAUAGAGGGCGAAAGGGAGAAAUGUGCUGAGGGAAAGGCACAUCUCCCAAACUUUUGUUGGGGCUGCCUUCCAUCUGGAAAUCAAUAACAAUAAUAAUAAUAAUAAUAAUAAUAAUAAUAAUAAUAAUAACUGGCAGAAUAUGUAAAGCAAAGUGAAGAACCUGCUUUGAUUGAAGUCAAAAAUCAAAAACUCCUCAAAGCACAGCAGACAAAAAACCAGUAAGAAAACUGCACUACAAACUAGAGCUGACAGCUGGCACAACAAAACAUUGCAUGGAAAGUUCCUUGACAAAAUUGAAGGAAAAGCUGAGAAGGAGAAGACCUGGCUGUGGCUCACGAAUGGGACCCUGAAGAAGGAGACAGAAGGCCUGAUCCUUGCAGCCCAGGAGCAAGACAUCAGGACAAAGGCAAUUGAUAAUAAUAAUAAUAAUAAUAAUAAUAAUAAUAAUAAUAAUAAUAAUAAUAAUAAUAAUAGAAGACCUGGCUCUGGCUCACAAAUGGGACCCUGAAGAAGGAGACAGAAGGCCUGAUCCUUGCAGCCCAGGAGCAAGACAUCAGGACAAAGGCAAUUGAUAAUAAUAAUAAUAAUAAUAAUAAUAAUAAUAAUAAUAAUAAUAAUAAUAAUAGAAGACCUGGCUCUGGCUCACAAAUGGGACCCUGAAGAAGGAGACAGAAGGCCUGAUCGCUCUUCUGUUUUGCAAAUGCUUGCAAGGAAGGUUAUGGCGACCGUUUUUUGGGAUAGGAAAGGUGUGCUUCUUGCAAAACCUUAGAAGAGCAAUCCAGAACAAGCGAGGGGGAAAGUUGAGCUGUGGGAAGGGACGCCUGCCUGGUUGAGGACACAAACCAAGCGGCAAAGUUUGGUGGGGAAGGACUUUCCAAACUCUUUUAUCGUUAUGAGAAGUGCCUAGAUUUCAAGGCGGACUAUGUUGAGAAGUGGUAUUUGGGUCUGGCUUUCAACUGCAUAUGGUAAAUGUUUUCUCCUAUACUUUGUUCAUUUUUAAUUCCAAAACGUAAUCUACUUUCUGGAUAGCCCUCGUAUAUCUGUAGAAGUUCCUGGGUGGGGGAAAAAACUCUUGUCUGUUGGAGGCCAGUGUGAAUGUUGUAAUUAAUCACCUUUGUUAUAAUAAUAAUAAUAAUAAUAAUAAUAAUAAUAAUAAUAAUAAUAAUAAUAAUUUAUUUAUAUACUGCCCUAUCUCCCAUAUGGGACUCAGGGUGGUUUCCAGUCAUAAAAACAACACAAACAUUACAUAACAACAUAAUAACACAUUAUUAAGCAAAGUAAAAUACAGUAGAGUCUCACUUAUCCAAGCCUCGCUUAUCCAAGCCUCUGGAUAAUCCAAGCCAUUUUUGUAGUCAAUGUUUUCAAUAUAUCGUGAUAUUUUGGUGCUAAAUUCGUAAAUACAGUAAUUACAACAUAACAUUACUGCGUAUUGAACUACUUUUUCUGUCAAAUUUGUUGUAUAACGUGAAGAUUUGGUGCUUAAUUUGUAAAAUCAUAACCUAAUUUGAUGUUUAAUAGGCUUUUCCUUAAUCCCUCCUUAUUAUCCAAGUUAUUCGCUUAUCCAAGCUUCUGCCGGCACAUUUAGCUUGGAUAAGUGAGACUCUACUGUAAUAUAAUUAUAGCAAUAAAUAACACUUACAUGACCAGAUCAAAGGGUCAUUUAAUGUUAGCAUUAAAUAGCUUUCCAAGCCUCGCAUCCUGGCCUGGGAGAAUCCUUUGUUCAGUGUCGUUAGCUGCCCCUGAUUGACUCCUGUCUGGAAUUACUCAGUUUCACUGUUCACUAAUGGGUUUGCUGCACUUUGGACCAGCCUGCAGGAUUCCAGCUGUGGCUGGCUGGAAUUAGUCCCCACAUUAGAGAAGCUGGUGUCAAACCUCAACAAAUCUUGAGUAACGGCCCAUCCCAGUCUGAGUUAUUGCUUAGGAAAACUGCACAUCCCUGUCCCACCCCUGAUGCGUGCCGUCCUUCAUAGCGAGAGCUGUGCCACGGCAACAUUGCUUUGACAGAUCCCAGGAGGAUUUCAAGGAAGUUCCACACCCACUUCAUUCACACUAAUCGGCUGUUUAACGCAGAAGAGUUCAGUGUUAUGAAUGAACGAGAGCAUGUUUUGGCUUGCCGAUCAGCUCGCAAAUAUAAUGCUCACUUGUCAAAAUGAGCAGAGAGAGUGUGUGUGUGUUUUAAAAAAAGCAGCAAUAUACAUUGGAGUUGAGAUUUGAUUGAAACCAUAUUCUCUGAAAGUGAAAGCUCUCCGGGGUUGGGAGGGAUUGCGCCUGCUGUUCCUUUAAAGCUUCGUCAAAGCUACUCGCAUGUGGAUCUUCUUGGCAAAUGUGGGAGGAAGUGCAACCGCAGCCUGUUCUGGAACAAAUUUGAGGCAGCUGAAUUGAGGUCGCGGUGGGUUUUCAACAUCCCAUUCUCGUGGGUUUCGCUCAUGUAUCGGGGGGAAAGGUUACGGAGCCAUUUGGAGAGGUUGCAUCGGGGUGAGUCAGCUACACAGCGCACUGAUUGUGGGUGCUUUGAGUGAGUUUUUCUACUUCUCAUUAGAAGCUCAAUGGGAAAGAUCUAUGGAGCAAAACUGAAGCACAUAGCUUCCUGUGCAGGUUCCUUGUUCAACUCCCAACACCUUCAAAUGGGUUUAGAAAAGACCCUUGUGGGAAGGUCUAGCAUGGUGUUACAGCUUGUUAAAGGCGAAACUCUUCAUUUAUAUUCUUCUCGAAGGAAGUCAUAACUUACCGUAUAUACUCGAGUAUAAGCCGACCCGAAUAUAACCCGAGGCACCUAAUUUUACCACAAAAAAACUAGGAAAACAUAGACUCCAGUAUAAGCCGAGAGGGGUAAAUUUCAUAAUAAUAAUAAUAAUAAUAAUAAUAAUAAUAAUAAUAAUAAUAAUUUGUGCGGUUUUCUGGCAUUGUAUAUUUCUGCCGCUUCUGUGACUGUUCAUUUGGGUUUUGAUGAUUCCGUAGCCCACUUGUCGAUGGAUGUCCAGAAUCAGCAGCAUCCACCGCGGUCCUUUUUAUCCUGGGCAACGACCGAGCCAGUAUAGACUUCGUUUUGGUUUGAUUCUCCAUAGUGCUAAUGGGUUAGCACUUGGUUCCAUUCCUCAGCUGAGGCCUCUCUAGCUUGGUUGGACCUGCCGGUAGUUACACUACUGCCAGCACAGCCCUCAGCAUCCUCGGAAUGGUUAAGCCCCCCCCCCCCCCACCACCACAUCUCCUCAGCUGCUGGAAGAAAGUUGCACAGACAGACUACAAACAGAGGCACAACUACGUGGCCCAAAUGAUUCAUUGGAACUUAUGUCUCAAGUACCACCUCCCAGCAGCAAAGAACUGGUGGGAUCACAAACCUGCAAAAGUACUGGAAAAUGAACAUGCAAAGAUACUGUGGGACUUCCGAAUCCAGACUGACAAAGUUCUGGAACACAACACACCAGACAUCACAGUUGUGGAAAAGAAAAAGGUUUGGAUCAUUGAUGUCGCCAUCCCAGGUGACAGUCGCAUUGACGAAAAACAACAGGAAAAACUCAGCCACUAUCAGGACCUCAAGAUUGAACUGCAAAGACUGGCAGAAACCAGUGCAGGUGGUCCCGGUGGUGAUCGGCACACUGGGUGCCAUGCCAAAAGAUCUCAGCCAGCAUUUGGAAACAAUAGACAUUGACAAAAUUACGAUCUGCCAACUACAAAAGGCCACCCUGCUGGGAUCUGCACGCAUCAUCCGAAAAUACAUCACACAGUCCUAGACACUUGGGAAGUGUUCGACUUGUGAUUUAGUGAUACGAAAUCCAACAUGUCUAUCUUGUUUGCUGUGUCAUAAAAUAAUAAUAAUAAUAAUAAUAAUAAUAAUAAUAAUAAUAAUAAUAAUAGGUAAUAAUCUUUAUUUUUACAUCCCGCCCCAUCUCCCCAAAGGAACUCGGGGCGGCUCACAACAGGGACAAGCCUGAACGACACAACAUAUUUGACAAAACUUAAAACAUUUCAACGAUACACAAAAUAAUAUAAUGGACAAUACAUUAAAAUACAAGCAGAUAAAAUCAGAGCAAUUAAAAGCGAACCAGAGGGGACAGGUUUCAUAAAGUGCUAUAUCAUGGAAAUGAGUAACAAUGAUAAAGUGCCGUAUGGUUUUAUAAACAUAAAGAAGUAUUCUGAUGAAAUAAAAAUAGAUACCAAUAAAAUAAAAAUAGAUCAAGAUGGCAAAAAUUAUUCAGGAGGAAAAGCACAUAACGUAGAGGAAGCUGCUGCAGUUUGCUUUUCCCUGAUCCUGUUGGGAAGGGAAAUUAUUCCACUCUUUCUUUCCUUUUCCUUUAUUGAAUUAAUUGAAUAUUUUAAUUUGAAUUCAGUUGACAGCAGUUGAAGUAAACUGGGGGUGGGAAGGAAUUGGGAGGAGGAUGUUGUGUGUUUCACGCCAAGGACUUCUGGAGGACCACGUAAUGAUUUCCACUCCUGCUGUGAGCUCUUCAGCAAAGCCCAGCAAGGCAAGGACAGACUUCGUAUCUUGAUGUUCUAAAUAAGGACACAGAGAGCUGUCUCAGACUGAUAUCGUCAAAAGAGCAAGUCAAUAACCAGAGCUAGGCUUCAGCCAUGAAACAAUUUGGACCAGACAUUGUGAAAUGCAGGAGCCAGCUUUCACAUCCAGCAAGUCUUGCCCUUACUCAAAUCUCUGGAAAUGUAUGUUUACAAAAAAAAAUGAGAUCUCUUCAAUACAAAAAAAAGACCUCAUCAAGUUGAUAAGGCAUUAAGCAGAAGGGACUAGUUGCAUAGAAAAACGCAGGAUCUGCAAAGGGAGUGUUUCACACCUUCUCGCUCCCCAGGAAAAUCUGAAAAUUAUGAGUUGUUGAAAUGAUGUGAUAAUUUGAUCUCUUAAUAAGUUAUUUCAGACUCUUUACAUGCAAAAAUAAGUGUGGAACCUCUUUAAGUAGAUCCUAUGGAAGGGAACUUCUGCAUGAGAAUGCCAGCCAAUAUUUCUCUGAUACGUCCCUUAGAAAAGCUAAAACCUUGACCACGAUUUUCUAUCACAGUCUAAUAACAUAAUUUUAUAUAUAAAACUAGCUGUGCCCAGCCACGUGUUGCUGUGGUGUUGUCUUCUAACGGGCAGCAAUUGGAUAAAAACUAUUAUUCCUCUCCCUAUAAUAAGGACUUUAUUUUUUUUCUUUUUGUUGUAUCAACCUAGAGCCGUGGAUGAUGGGUUGUGUUGUCAAAUUUCGAGGUUGAGGGGCCUGUAGUUUUGUUGUUUUGUCCGCUGCCCUGAUGCCAUUACUCUUUUAUAUAUAUAGAUGGAUCUUCUGCAUUUUAACUUUUGCAGAUUUGAUAAUUUAUACAUUUGAUUGUUACAUUCUUUCAGAGCAUCUCGAGGUCCUUCUCCAGACAUUAACCAUACAGCCAACUCCACUGGACAGUGACUAUAUGUUCAAUAUUUGGCGGAAGACCUAAAUAUUUCUUGAGAGGUGUCUUCUCAAGGGGUAAAAAGGUUUUUUGAUUCAUAAUUUUCCUACUCUCACUGAAGUCCGAGACUCCUGGCCCCUACAAAAGUGGGACCUCAACUAUACUUCGAUAUGUAGAAGAUGCAAGUCCACUUACAAAGAGAUAAGUACUCAAGUAAAUUCCAGUCCUAUUCUUCUCGGGUUCUUCAAUGACAGUUGAGGUUCUGAUAUCAGAGAAAAUCAACUCUUGAGUUUUAAUCCAAUCUAUGAGGGUUGAAUGAAAAGUAAUGCCUCCACCUUCGUAACUCCUCAACAGAUGACUGUCCUGGUCUGAGAAAGGUUCUGGCUUGUUCAGUAGACUCUCCUCUACCUUUAGUUCCAUUUGGCGGGAAGCCUUAUCAUUGAACGGUUGUGUUGUUAAAGUGCGAAGUAUGGAACCCUGCACAGACAGUCGGUCAAUGUGACUUAAUCAAUGUGCAGCCAUUGAAUUCUUGACAGCAGAAGGUGUGACCCCAAAGGAGAUUCAUCAGAGAAUGCAAGCUGUUUAUGUGGAUUGUCUUGAUGUGAGUCCUGUGCAUUGUUGGGCGAGUAAGUUUAAAGAUGUUGCGGUGGGAACAUCUGACUUGAGUGACAAACAAAGAGUUGGGCAUCCUGUGACAGCAACCACCAAGUUUCACAAGCAAAAGGUUGACAGAUUGAUUCAGGACGAUUGUUGUAUCACUCAGAGAGAAAUUUCAAGCAUAAUCGGCAUUUCACAAGAAUGUGUGGGUCACAUUAUUGCUUUGCUUGGCUAUCGGAAGAUCUGAGCACGAUGGGGACUGUGAGAUGCUGGUUGUGGAAACAGAGUGUUGACUUCUUCUGUGACAGCUUCAGAAAACUUGUUUGUUGUUGGCAGAAAUGUAUCCAGUUGUCUGGUGAUUAUGUGGAAAAGUGAAUAGUGGUAGUUAAAGAGCACAUUCUAAGGAUUAUCUCUGUGUUUAAUUUAUUAAAACAUUCCCAUCCAAACCCAAGUAACGAAGGUGGAGACAUUACUUUUCAUUCAACCCUUGUAUAAAGGAGAUAGUUAUGGUGUUCUAUUCCAAUAUAAUCAACAGACUUAUUAUCUCUUUUAAAGGUUGGACUAAAUUCCAGAAUGGGUUCACUGUCUCCCUGAUAUGUCAAUCACUAGUGAUUAUAAUAAUUUUAAUACAGUAGAGUCUCACUUAUCCAACAUAAACAGGCCGGCAGAAUGUUGGAUAAGUGAAUAUGUUGGAUAAUAAGGAGAGAUUAAGGAGAAGCCUAUUAAAUAUCAAAUUAGGUUAUGAUUUUACAAAUUAAGCACCAAAACAUCAUGUUAUACAACAAAUUUGACAGAAAAAGUAGUUCAAUAGGCAGUAAUGCUACGUAGUAAUUACUGUAUUUACGAAUUUAGCACCAAAAUAUCACGAUGUAUUGAAAACAUUGACUACAAAAAUGUGUUGGAUAAUCCAGAACGUUGGAUAAGUGAAUGUUGGAUAAGUGAGACUCUACUGUAAUAAUAAUUUUAUUUUUAUACCCUGCCCAUUCUCUCCGAAGGGACCCGGGGCGGCUUACAUGGGGCCAAGCCCAGACAUCAGACAAUAUAAAAACAAAGCAAUAAAACAAGUCAAUCAACAAUAAAAAAAAUCAUAAAUUAUUAUUGGAUUAUUGGAGUAGUUGGGAUGUAAAUGACUCUCCCUUCAUCUAGAUUUGGAAGAGAAUGGCUCAUUUCUUUUUGACUCUGUGAUGGUGCAUUUGUAAUCUCUUCGGUCAGCAAAAGGGCAAGUGUAAACAUUCCUUCAAUCUAGGAAUUAUUUUUUCAGACAACUCCCAGAAUCCAGCAGCCUGCAUUAUAGUCCAAAACAGAGAGAGAAAGUGAGGGAGGGAGAAAGGACGGCUUCCAAAAGUGGUGCCUCUGGGAACCUCGACAGAGCUUGGCUUCUGCCACUGAGGCCUGUGCCAAGCAGAGCUCAAUCCCAUGCCAAGAAUUUGUGCAACCUGUGUAAUUUAUGCAAAUGAAUAAUUUGCAUGUAUUUGCUUGGCAUAAUUCCGCCCGAUCCUGCUAAUGAUGGGGAGAAGCCAUAACCCCUGCCAGGCACUGAUUCCGCGACCCCAGGCUCUUUGUUCAUGAACCCACAGACCUUGGCCAAUGUCUACCAUUCCCAAACAUGAGGUCUGCCCACUUAUAUUUAGAAAGGGUAAGGGCGGUUUCUGGAUUUAUUUUAUUUUAUUUUUUGUGUGUUAGGAGCAACUUGAGUCUGAUAUUUGGAUUUGCAGCUGACAAUGGAAGCUCAGGUCGCUGCUGCCAGCAAACAGGCCUUUUAUCACCUACAACAAGCGAGGCAACUGGCACCCUAUCUAUCUGAUGAGGCUCUGGCAACAGUCAUCCAUGCCAUGGUCACGUCUAAGGCUGGACUAUUGCAACGCCCUGUAUGUUGGCCUUCCGAUGUCUAUGACCCGAAAGCUCCGUAUUGUUCAGAAUGCGGCAGCCAGGCUACGCACAAAAAACACCCAUGAAAUGCCACAUAACACCAGUGCUGCAGCAUCUGCAUUGGCUUCCAACUGAUUACCGUGGUCUAUAUAAGAUGCUAGUUCUGACCUUUAAAAUUCUUUACGGCCAGGACCCAUCGUACCUUAGGGACCGUCUCUCCUUCUCCCAUCAUCGGAGGUCGCAACGACCAUCCCAACGCGACUUACUUUAUAUACUGGGUCCUAGAGAAGUGCACUUGGAAAGGACCAGACGCAGAGCUUUUUCUAUUUCUGCCCCUGCCUUAUGGAAUGCCUUGCCGCCCUAGAUGAGAGCCAUACGUGAGUUAAUAACUUUAAUAAUAACUUUAUUUUUAUACCCCGCCCCAUCUCCCCGAAGGGACUCAGGGUGGCUUACAUGGGGCCUUGCCCGAUAAAACAAUCAAAUAUCAAAACACAGCAAUAAAACAGUUAUCCAAUAAAAACAUCAAUUACAGUAAAAACAACAUAAAACAUACAAUAUUAACACUGGAGACUAAUUCAUAGAACCCAGGCAAGGUGCAACAUGGGCUGAAAUGGGCCGAAAUGGGGAAGGUAAUUUCACAGUUGAAAUGGACAAAGUGCAAUAUAGCAUUGGCAACACCUCGAGAAUGGGGCUAUUAUAAAAUUAGGGCCUUUUACCCUAGCACUCAAGACCUGGCUCUUUACUAGAGCUUUUGAUCUAAGUUAAUUUUAUCAAUAUUUGUAUGUAUGUAUUUUUAUCCUUUACAAUUUUAUCUUGUAAAUCGCCUAGAGCAUCUUGGAUGGAGGGCGAUUAAUAAGUAAUUAAAUGAUGAUGACGAUGAUGAUGAUGAUGAUGAUGAGUCGCUUCUGGAGUGAGAGAAUUGGCCAUCUGCAAGGACGUUGCCCAGGGGACGCCCGGAUGUUUUUGAUGUUUUUUACAAUCCUUGUGGGAGGCUUCUUUCAUGUUCCCGCAUGGAGCUGGAGCUAAUAGAGGGAGCUCAUCCGCACUCUCCCCGGGUAGGAUUUGAACCUGGCAGCUUUCAGGUCAACAACCCAACCUUCAAGUCACUUAGUCCACUACGCUAUCCAGGGGCUUUGGUUUCUAGAUGCCACAGCCCUGAUACAAAUGUCUGCAUCUUUUCCUUUCCUAUCAAAGUGGAAGAAUCACAGAAUGCCCUCCCAGACAGCCGGCUGAGAAAUCAAUACUCCUCCAUUCUGACUAAACAGCUUGGAGCCGAUUCUCUGCAGAACUCUUCUUCCCUGAUUGCCAAUAAUGGAUGAGCUGUCCCCAUCUUCUGCUUUGCGAGGAGCGAAUGUGAGGGAGCUCCCUUGCCAGGAGGGCCUGGCAGCCGCAGUGGCUAACGUAACCACCACCCUCUCCGACUGUGCCAGCCCAAGCAAGGCUAUUUCUGAGUCAUGCCCAUCCCAAGAGCUCUCGGUGCAUGAGACGCCGGUGGGAGGUAUCAUUGAAGAAAGGCAGGCAGGGCACACAUUCAAGUGACCUAGAUUUUGCAGGCUGAGCUGAGCUGAGGCACUGUCUGCGGUAGAGGCAUGCAAAGCCAAAAGCAACACUCUGAGGAGGCUGCUUGCUGUCUCUUUGGAGGAAGACGAGGAGGAGGAGGAGGUGGUUUACUUACUUACUUACUUACUUAGGCGAUCCCUCGUAGUUUGAGGAUGAUUGUCUUCCAUCUUGGGUGUGUGUCCGUAGAUGGCUGGAGAGACCUAUUCUUGAUCCGCAUGUUCUCCCUUCCGCAGUGAGGACAUCGGUUUCCAGGGUUGGCUUGACGCUCCUUCCUCUUGGCACGUUUCUCCCUUAAGCCCUCCGUUCGUACCUCUUCGAACUCCACAGCACUGCUGGUCACAGCUGACCUCCAAUUAGAGCGCUCAAGGGCCAGGGCUUCCCAGUUCUCAGUGUCUAUGCCACAGUUUUUAAGGUUGGCUUUAAGCCCAUCUUUAAAUCUCUUUUCCUGCCCACCAACAUUACGUUUCCCGUUCUUGACUUAUAUAAUCAGUAGGAAUAAUAUUAUGUAUGACAUGAUGAGUAACUGUACCAAAGGCCAAUUUUCAUCCCCAUGUUGGAGGACCCUAUACUUAUGUUUUUUCUACUUCUGAACUGGAAAUGAUGUGACAUCACUUCCAGUUGAGUUCUCACCUGAUAUGGGGCAUUAUUGGAAGGGCGCAAGGGUCAUGAAGGUUGUAGGAAGCAGAAUUUGGAAGGUUGAAUAGUUUGGGUACUGCCCACCAACAUUAUGUUUCCCGUUCUUGAGUUCAGAAUAGAGCAACUGCUUUGGAGAUGGUGAUCGGGCAUUCGGACAACGUGGCCAGUCCAGCGGAGUUGAUGGCGUAGGAGCAACGUUUCAAUGCUGGUGGUCUUUGCUUCCUCAAGUAACAUUUGUCCGCCUGCCUUCCCAAGAGAUUUGCAGGAUUUUUCUAAGGCAACGCUGAUGGAAACGCUCCAGGAGUUGGGUGUGACAUCUGUAGACAGUCCACAUUUCGCAGGCGUAGAGCAGGGUUGGGAGGGCAAUGGCUUUCUAAACAAGACAUCUAUGGAUGUCCCAGUCAUCAAACACUCUCUGCUUCAUUCUGAAAAAUGCUGCACUCGCAGAGCUCAGGCGGUGUUGCAUUUCAGUGUUGAUGUUGACUUUUGUGGAGAGGUGGCUCCAAGGGAGCGGAAAUGGUCAACAUUUUCUAAUGUUACACCAUUAAGCUGUAUUCCUGGCAUUGCAGAGGGAUUAGCUGGUGCCUGUUGGAAGAGCACUUUGGUUUUCUCGAUGUUCAAUGAGAGGCCAAGCUUCUCGUAUGCUUCUGCGAAGGUGUUUAGAGUGGUUGGGGCAGAUUUCUCCAGCUGGCUUCUACUGCCCUUGCUGGACCCACCCAUAUUGUUCUCCCAUAGGAAUAAAGACAAAGAGGGGGAUUCAGGGGUAUCGGUUCAGAUCAGGGCCGGCCCUAGGUAAUUUUCAAGUGUAAGCAAACAGAAUUUUGGCACCUUCCCCCCCCCCCCCCCCAAACCAAUCACUGAAAAAUAAAAGCAUCGGAUAAGCGAAAAUGUUGGAUAAUAAAGAGGGAUUGGAACCCCGGUGGCAAAGUGUGUUAAAGCACUGAGCUGCUGAACUUGCAGAUCGAAAGGUCCCAGGUUCAAAUCCGGGGAGCGGAGUGAGCAGCCGCUGUUAGUUCCAGCUUCUGCCAACCUAGCAGUUCAAAAACAUGCCAAUGUGAGUAGAUCAAUAGGUACCGCUCCGGCGGGAAGGUAACGGCGCUCCAUGCAGUCAUGCCAGUGGCCACAUGACCUUGGAGGUGUCUACGGAUUAAAUGAUUUUGAAUAUUUAUAUACAACUGUAAUUUAAGAUAAUAAUAAGACUUUAAUAAGAUAAGACAGUCCAACUCUGAGUACCUAUAUACUCAAGUAUAAGCUGACCUGAAUAGAAGCCGGCCAGGACCCUCACUCGAUUAUAAGCCGAGGGGAGCUUUUUCAGCCCUAAAAAGGGGCUGAAAAACUAGGCUUAUACUCGAGUAUAUAAAGUAAUAGAACAGUCAAGCUGGCAUUCAAGCUGGGGCUGAAAAACUAGGCUUAUACUCGAGUAUAUAAAGUAAUAGAAUAGUCAAGCUGGCAUUCAAGCUGGGGCUGAAAAACUAGGCUUAUACUCGAGUAUAUAAAGUAAUAGAACAGUCAAGCUGGCAUUCAAGCUGGGGCUGAAAAACUAGGCUUAUACUCGAGUAUAUAAAGUAAUAGAACAGUCAAGCUGGCAUUCAAGCUGGGGCUGAAAAACUAGGCUUAUACUCGAGUAUAUAAAGUAAUAGAAUAGUCAAGCUGGCAUUCAAGCUGGGGCUGAAAAACUAGGCUUAUACUCGAGUAUAUAAAAUAAUAGAACAGUCAAGCUGGCAUUCAAGCUGGGGCUGAAAAACUAGGCUUAUACUCGAGUAUAUAAAGUAAUAAAAUAGUCAAGCUGGCAUUCAAGCUGGGGCUGAAAAACUAGGCUUAUACUCGAGUAUAUAAAGUAAUAGAACAGUCAAGCUGGCAUUCAAGCUGGGGCUGAAAAACUAGGCUUAUACUCGAGUAUAUAAAGUAAUAGAACAGUCAAGCUGGCAUUCAAGCUGGGGCUGAAAAACUAGGCUUAUACUCGAGUAUAUAAAGUAAUAGAACAGUCAAGCUGGCAUUCAAGCUGGGGCUGAAAAACUAGGCUUAUACUCGAGUAUAUAAAGUAAUAGAAUAGUCAAGCUGGCAUUCAAGCUGGGGCUGAAAAACUAGGCUUAUACUCGAGUAUAUAAAAUAAUAGAACAGUCAAGCUGGCAUUCAAGCUGGGGCUGAAAAACUAGGCUUAUACUCGAGUAUAUAAAGUAAUAAAAUAGUCAAGCUGGCAUUCAAGCUGGGGCUGAAAAACUAGGCUUAUACUCGAGUAUAUAAAGUAAUAGAACAGUCAAGCUGGCAUUCAAGCUGGGGCUGAAAAACUAGGCUUAUACUCGAGUAUAUAAAGUAAUAGAAUAGUCAAGCUGGCAUUCAAGCUGGGGCUGAAAAACUAGGCUUAUACUCGAGUAUAUAAAGUAAUAGAACAGUCAAGCUGGCAUUCAAGCUGGGGCUGAAAAACUAGGCUUAUACUCGAGUAUAUAAAGUAAUAGAAUAGUCAAGCUGGCAUUCAAGCUGGGGCUGAAAAACUAGGCUUAUACUCGAGUAUAAGUAAAAGUAAUAUAUAUAAGUAUAAGUAUAUAAUAUAUAUAUAACUUAUAUAAGUAUAAGUAAAGUAAUAGAACAGUCAAGCUGCUAUUAUAAGUGUCAGUAAUAGCAUCAUACAAGGGUUUUCUGUGCUCCUUUUGAGAAAUUCAGGUAAAGGAAAUCAUCAAUGGUAUGGUAUUGUCAAAAUGUUGCUGUUCUUGUUAUGUGCCUUCGAGUCGGUACUGACUUCUGGCAUCUUUGACUUAUGAGAUGCUCUCCAAAGGUUUUCUUGGCGAGAUUUGUUGAGUGGAGGUUUGACAUUGCCUUCCUGCUAGGCUGCCUUGUUCAGCAGAAACCAGGAGAUUUCAACCCUGGUCUCCCAGGGUCGGGGAGUGUGACACUCAAACCACUACAUCACGCUGGCUCUAUGAAUUAUCCAAAUAUUAUGCCUGAAAGAAGGUUUCCUGCAAUGAGUUUGAACCCUUGACCCCUUGGGACGGUGAGCCGAGUUGCCCGGAGGAAGGAAAGGAGGAGAUGGCUAUUUUAUUUAAUGCAAAACCUUUGCAGUACAGCGAUCCCUGGAGCCCGUACAGUCUCCUUUCUCGCAUCGACCACCACUGAAAAGGGGAAAUUAAGAAUUCCUGACACACAACAUAGUUAAGAAAGAAAAAAAGGGGGGAAGGAGGAGGAAGAAAGAGAGGCUGAAAGAAAGGAAGGAGAAGCUAGCUGUGACUGUGUGUUGAAAGAAAAUGUUAAUUUCGAUCUGGGAUGUACUGUAUAUACUCGAGUAUAAGCCUAGUUUUUCAGCCCUCUUUUUAAGACUGAAAAAGCCCCCCUUGGCUUAUACUCGGGUGAGGGUCCUGGUUGGCUUAUAUUUGGGUCAGCUUAUACUUGAGAAUAUAUGGUACAUUUAUUAUUUUUCUCUAUUAUUAUUGGUAUUAUUACAUUUAUUUAUUUAUUACAAUAUUUAUAUCCUGCCCUUCUCACCCAACAGGGGACUCAGGGCGGCUUACAAUAAAACACACAUAUAAAAACUGUACAAUACACUAUAAAUCAGUUAAAAAAUUAACUUACAUAAGACAUUCAUAAAACGCAUUAUAAAAUACAGAUAGGCGUGUUCAAGUUUAAAAGACUGGGUCUGUCAAUUGAGUUUAUUAUUUAUUAUUUUAUUAUUUAUUAUUUUUCAUUAUUUUUAUCAUUUAUUAUUUUUCUCUAUUAUUGUUGCUACUAUUACAUUUAUUUUACUCUAUUUUAUUAUUAAUAAUACAUUUAUUAUUUCACUCUGAUCUUAUUAUUAUUAUUAUUGUUGUUGCAUUUAUUCUUUUACUCUAUUAUUACAUGUAUUAUUUACUAUUCUGUAUUUAUUAUUAUUAUUAUUACAUGUAUUAUUUUACUCUAUUAUUAUUAAAAGGAUACAUAAGCACAUUUACAUUGAAGAAGAUGAGAAUAAUGAUUUGAUCAGAGUUGGACAGUCUUAUCUUAAAUUUGAGCUUUAUGUAAAUAUUCAAAAACAUUUAACCUACUGAUGCCUCAAUUCAUGUAAUUUUAUUGGUAUCUAUUUUUAUUUCUGAAAUUUACCACCCUUGGCUUAUACUGGAGUCAAUGUUUUCCCAGUUUUUUUGUGGUAAAAUUAGGUGCCUCGGCUUAUAUUCGGGUCGGCUUAUACUCGAGUAUAUACGGUAGUUGGGAUGUAAAUGACGCUUCCUUCAUCUAGAUUCGGAAGAGAAUGGCUCAUUUCAAGAGAAGGGCCGGGCUGUGGCGCAGCUGGCUAGUAACCAGCUGCAAUAAAUCACUACUGAUCGAGAGAGAGGUCAUGAGUUCAAAGCCCGGGUCGGGUUAAGCCCCCGACCAUUAAAUAGCCCGGCUUGCUGUUGACCUAUGCAGGCCUGAAAGACAGUUGCAUCUGUCAAGUAGGGAAAUUUAGGUACGCUUUAUGCGGGAGGCUAAUUUAACUAAUUUACAACACCAUAAAAACUGCAAGCAAAACACGAGGAAAGGAAUGAGGAAGUACAGCUACUAGUGGACGGUGAAGCAACAGCUCCCCCUGUGGCCGGAAUCGUGAAGCUGGAAAAAUGUUAAAUGCCUCUGUGUGUUUCUAUACUGUAUGUUGUUUGUCUGUUGGCACUGAAUGUUUGCCAUAUAUGUGUUCAUUGUAAUCUGCCCUGAGUCCCCUUCGGGAUGAGAAGGGCGGAAUAUAAAUACUGUAAAUAAAUUUUAAAAAAUUCUUUUUAA